CUUCAGGGAGCCCAGCCGCAGCGGCUCGGCGUCGCCGCGCCCCGCACCGUACGUGGCCAGCAGCGCCUGCGCCUC
rfam:Micromonospora carbonacea strain JXNT-1 contig1, whole genome shotgun sequence.